rnacentral:rRNA from 1 species
UACGAAGGGGGCUAGCGUUGUUCGGAUUUACUGGGCGUAAAGCGCACGUAGGCGGAUCGUUAAGUCGGGGGGUGAAAAUCCUGGAGCUCAACUCCAGAACUGCCUUCGAUACUGGCGAUCUUGAGUCCGGAAGAGGUGAGUGGAACUCCUAGUGUAGAGGUGGAAUUCGUAGAUAUUAGGAAGAACACCAGUGGCGAAGGCGGCUCACUGGUCCGGGUACGU